CUCCAGUCAUGACCUCACAUUAGUGCCACGAGUCUGAGCCACUGAUCUAAGCGAUGGGAUGGUGGCACUGAGGAG
rnacentral:snoRNA from 1 species